rnacentral:tmRNA from 1 species
GGGGAUGUUUGGUUUCGACAGGGUGGUAGGUUGGUCGGUUGCACGCCGAGGCGCCCGGGCCCUCGUAAAAACGGGCAAAACAAGUAACUGGCACUCAGCCUGUUGCUCUCGCUGCCUAAGUCACAGACCUCUAGGUAGCGCGUCCGUCCGGACCUUCCCCUUCCGGGACCGGGUACGGGCGUCACCAAGGAAGGGUGCGGCGAUCUAGUUCGUCGGAGCGCGAUCGCCCAAGACAGUCCGACUCACCGCCACGCCAGCCGGUCGACGGGCGGGCGCGGCGGCACGCAAAACGUCGGCUAAGCGUGUAGGACACCGGGGACUCAACAUUCUGGACGGGGGUUCGACUCCCCCCAUCUCCACCA